GCAGGGUGUGGUGGGGCAUACCUGUAAUCCCAGCUACUCAGGAGGCUAAGGCAGGAGGAUUUUGAGUUUGAGGCCAGCCUGGGCGACAUAGUGAGACCCUGUCUCAA
rnacentral:sRNA from 1 species